rnacentral:tRNA from 1 species
GCCUGGUUAGCUUAGUCAGUAGAGCAUAAAACUCUUGAUCUUGGAGUCGUGGGUUCAAGUUCCACAUUGGGUG